rnacentral:rRNA from 1 species
AUUGAACGCUGGCGGCAGGCUUAACACAUGCAAGUCGAGCGCGCGGCGGACGGGUGAGUAAUGCCUGGGAAACUGCCUGCUGGAGGGGGAUAACUACUGGAAACGGUAGCUAAUACCACAUACCAUCAGAUGUGCCCCGAUGGGAUUAGCUAGUUGGUGGGGUAAUGGCUCACCUAGGCGACGAUCCCUAGCUGGUCUGAUAGGAUGACAAGCGACACUGGAAAUGAGACACGGUCCAGACUCCAACGGGAGGCAGCAGGGGGGAAUAUUGGACAAGGGGCGCAAGCCUGAUGCAGACAUGCCGCGUGUGUGAAGAAGGCAUUCGGGUUGUAAAGCAAUUUCAGCUAGGCGGAGGUACUCGCAGAAGAAGCACCGGCUAACUCCGUGCCAGAAGCCGCGGUAAUAC